rnacentral:lncRNA from 1 species
AAGUAAGUAAACCCAUAAACAGAAAAAUGCUGAAAUGUAUUUCUUACAAGCAAUUAAUCAGUCUACUCAAUUUUCUCCACCAGCUGAAUCAGCACCUGAAGCUGCAGAGACUACUACUCAACCUGCUCCUCCACACUCUCAGUCUGCUCCAGCUGAAACAAGAUCUCAACAAGCUCCUCCCACUAAGUUAACCCCUAAACCCGAGUCCACUGUUCAGCCCACCACAAGACCAACCUCUGUUACUGAGCCCGAAAAACAACCAACUCCACCAGCCUCAACUGACCAGCCAAGUCUUCAGCCAACCAACCAUUCCCCCAAGCCUACCACAACCCCUCCAAGUAAGUAAACCCAUAAACAGAAAAAUGCUGAAAUGUAUUUCUUACAAGCAAUUAAUCAGUCUACUAAAUUUUUCCACCAGCUGAAUCAGCACCUGAAGCUGCAGAGACUACUACUCAACCUGCUCCUCCACACUCUCAGUCUGCUCCAGCUGAAACAAGAUCUCAACAAGCUCCUCCCACUCAGUCAACUCCUGAAUUUGAGUCCAUUGUUCAGCCUAC